GAUGAACGCUGGCGGCGUGCCUAAUACAUGCAAGUCGAGCGAACGGACGAGAAGCUUGCUUCUCUGAUGUUAGCGGCGGACGGGUGAGUAACACGUGGAUAACCUACUUAUAAGACUGGGAUAACUUCGGGAAACCGGAGCUAAUACCGGAUAAUAUUUUGAACCGCAUGGUUCAAAAGUGAAAGACGGUCUUGCUGUCACUUAUAGAUGGAUCCGCGCUGCAUUAGCUAGUUGGUAAGGUAACGGCUUACCAAGGCAACGAUGCAUAGCCGACCUGAGAGGGUGAUCGGCCACACUGGAACUGAGACACGGUCCAGACUCCUACGGGAGGCAGCAGUAGGGAAUCUUCCGCAAUGGGCGAAAGCCUGACGGAGCAACGCCGCGUGAGUGAUGAAGGUCUUCGGAUCGUAAAACUCUGUUAUUAGGGAAGAACAUAUGUGUAAGUAACUGUGCACAUCUUGACGGUACCUAAUCAGAAAGCCACGGCUAACUACGUGCCAGCAGCCGCGGUAAUACGUAGGUGGCAAGCGUUAUCCGGAAUUAUUGGGCGUAAAGCGCGCGUAGGCGGUUUUUUAAGUCUGAUGUGAAAGCCCACGGCUCAACCGUGGAGGGUCAUUGGAAACUGGAAAACUUGAGUGCAGAAGAGGAAAGUGGAAUUCCAUGUGUAGCGGUGAAAUGCGCAGAGAUAUGGAGGAACACCAGUGGCGAAGGCGACUUUCUGGUCUGUAACUGACGCUGAUGUGCGAAAGCGUGGGGAUCAAACAGGAUUAGAUACCCUGGUAGUCCACGCCGUAAACGAUGAGUGCUAAGUGUUAGGGGGUUUCCGCCCCUUAGUGCUGCAGCUAACGCAUUAAGCACUCCGCCUGGGGAGUACGACCGCAAGGUUGAAACUCAAAGGAAUUGACGGGGACCCGCACAAGCGGUGGAGCAUGUGGUUUAAUUCGAAGCAACGCGAAGAACCUUACCAAAUCUUGACAUCCUUUGACAACUCUAGAGAUAGAGCUUUCCCCUUCGGGGGACAAAGUGACAGGUGGUGCAUGGUUGUCGUCAGCUCGUGUCGUGAGAUGUUGGGUUAAGUCCCGCAACGAGCGCAACCCUUAAGCUUAGUUGCCAUCAUUAAGUUGGGCACUCUAAGUUGACUGCCGGUGACAAACCGGAGGAAGGUGGGGAUGACGUCAAAUCAUCAUGCCCCUUAUGAUUUGGGCUACACACGUGCUACAAUGGACAAUACAAAGGGCAGCGAAACCGUGAGGUCAAGCAAAUCCCAUAAAGUUGUUCUCAGUUCGGAUUGUAGUCUGCAACUCGACUACAUGAAGCUGGAAUCGCUAGUAAUCGUAGAUCAGCAUGCUACGGUGAAUACGUUCCCGGGUCU
rnacentral:rRNA from 1 species